AUAGGACAGCUCCUUCCUCUUCAGUUCCUGCGGGGUAUAGAAGGAAACAGGAAGGUCCCUGCUGCUUAACCUUUUUGUUGAGAAAGCCCAAGUCAUUUAGAGAGCUUAACAUGGCCUGGGCUCUGUCUUUCCUUGCACUUCUUGGCUAUUUCUCAGGUGUCAUUUCUCAACAUACUGUGACUCAACCUACAUCGGAGUCUUUGUCCCCAGGACAAACAGCUAAAUUCUCUUGCACUGCCAGCAGCAGUCCCAGCGGCGGCUAUAUUCACUGGUAUCAACAGAAAGCUGGGCAGGCCCCUCGCUUUGUGCAUUAUAAUGGUGGCAGCAGGGGAGAAGGGAUCCCUGAUCGAUUCACCGCUUCUGUCUCUGGGAAUACUGGCUAUUUAACCAUCAGUAACCUCAAGGCUGAAGAUGAGGCUGUCUAUUACUGUGGGGCUUGGUUUAACAGCUAUAGCUUGUGGCACAGUGAUCAAGUCUUAUGGGGAACUGAGACAAAAACCUUCCACCUUCCUCCUUCACAUCUGGCAGCUUAGAAUCACUAGAGAUAUGUCAUGGAAUUCUACUCAGUAUUGAUCCAGAGCAGAUUCCUGUAUAGUUAGCAGAGUAAAAACUUAAACACAUUGCAGGGUUCCCAAAAAAUUAGACCAGAGGCUAUGAAAAUUUCAUCCAGCAGAGCUUUACUGCUACUGGUAUUGUGCAUUAAGUAGAGUUAUAUGAGGCUGGAUAUAUCCCGCAUGGACCUCUGCUUUUUAGACACAGGACAAGUGUGGAUAAGCCCCUAGUCCAGUAUGCUUUUCUCACAUGCACCAGCCAGAUUAUUAUGGACCUGACUGCAACAGCACUCUCCCAGCC